UAAAGGCUAUAAUUACAAUCAAAUUCAAAGGCUAGGCGAAAUAUAAAAAUCAGCUUUUAAAAAUUAGCUGGUUUGCUUAGUUCCCUGCUCUUCAUUGCUUUUUUGUGAAUGAAACUUUAGGUGGUGGUAUGAGGUGACUUGUUCAGUUUUAGGGGUGACAGAGAAAUGCUGAAGAGGGUGUUCUUUUCUUUCAAGAACUGACUUAAAAAAUAUUUAUGUGCAUUGGUGCUUUCCCUUCAUGUAUGUCUCUAUGUGGGUGUUGGACCCCCCUGGAACUGGAGUUGUAGACGGUUGUAAGCCGCCAUGUAGGUGCUGAGAACUGAACCCGGGUCCUCUCGGAGAGCAGUCAGGGCUCUUAACCACUGAGUCAUCUCUCCAGCUCCAACAAGAGUACUCUUAAAAGGACACAUGUUUUGGCUUUAAUCAUUAUCUGUUAGUCCUUGUAGCUCGCUGGUUUGAGAGCGCUCAGCAGAAAGAGUGUCAUCCUUGUGCAGGCAAGCUUUUCUUUCCCUUUCUUCGUCUGAUGUGGGAGUGGUUUCUUAUUAAUAAAGAAACUGCCUUGGCCCAUUUUAUUGGAUAGAAAAUUAGGUAGGUGGAGUAUACAGAAGAGAAUUCUGGGAGAAAGAAGGUUAGAGGAGGAGUCGCCAUGAUUCUCCCGCUCCAGACAGACUCAGGUUAAGAUCCUCCCUGGUAAGCCAGCUCGUGGGCUACACAGAAUAUUAGAAAUGGGUUAGAACAAUAUGUAAGAGCUAGCCAAUAAGAAGCUGGAACUAGCCGGGCCAGGCAGUGUUUGAAAGAAUACAGUUUCCGUGUAAUUAUUUCUGGGCAUACGCUAGCCAUGCGGGCGGCCGGGUGCCGGGGACUCAGCCUCGCCGCUCCUAAUUCAACACUGGUUUCAUAAAGGUAUUUCCAUGUUAAGCAUAAGGUAUACUUUAACCAUGUUCCUGCACACCCUCCUAUCCUCCUGUUCCCCCUCCCUUUCUCAUUAGUAACCUUCACUCUAGACGAUUUUGCCUCUACUUUAAGGACCUAUGACAGGCAUGAUUUGAUGCAACAUAUAAUAUCGAGGAUCUACAGAUGAAAGAAAGCAUACAAUAUUUGUCUGAAAUUGACUCAGUUCGCUUAAUAUGGCAAUCUCCAUUUUCCUACCAAGAAGAGAAUUCUACUCUUCACUAUGGCAGACUAAGAUCCCACAUGUGUACAGACCACGUUUCCUUCCCCCUUCCCCUGUGUUAGGACAUGUAGGCAGAUCCCUUUGCUUACUCUUGUGGGCAGCGCUGCAGUCACUUUAACAUGCAAGCGUCUGUGUGCUGUGUUGACACAGAGUCCUUCGGAUAAACACCUAGGAGUCAUCGAGCAAACAAGUAACAAAAGUUGAAGCAUGCUUUCCAUUAGGCACCUAAGAAGAGGAAUUUGGAAGUCAAAUGUCACCUUCUGACUGCUGGAAGAACCGAGACUCUGUAUCCAAAUAAAAGACUUACUCUGCUUUGCAGUUCCCUGAAGUCCCAGGGACAGGUCCACCUCAGCAUGCACAUCAGCGGAGCUAAAAGCACGUUUUACAGUCCGGGCAUGGAGAGCCGCUGAAGAUUGUUUGAGAACUCGACUGCUGUGUCUGAGUUCCUCUGAUGUUUCCUGUUGCCGACUGCUUGCUCAUUAUUCUAGAAAAAAUAGCAAACAAGCCCAAACUACUUCUCCAAACAAUUCCAAGACAUACCACACAACAGAGGAAAGCAAACUCACCAGCGAAGCCCAGCUUUCCUGGGCUAGUUUGUGAGAACCAGGGUGCUUUGUUGCUUUGGUUUGCUUCUUUAAAUUUUAUUUUAUGUGCAUUGGUGUUUUGCACGUAUGUCUGACUGAGGAUGUCCAGGUCCCUGGAACAGUUGUGAGCUGCCGUGUAGAUGCUGGGAAUUGAACUCUGGUCCUCGGGGAGGA